rnacentral:sRNA from 1 species
UUAGGAAGGAGCCGUUAGGAUAGUAUGC